GGUUGAUCAUGGCUCAGAUUGAACGCUGGCGGGAUGCUUUACACAUGCAAGUCGAACGGCAGCACGGACUUCGGUCUGGUGGCGAGUGGCGAACAGGGUGAGUAAUGUAUCGGAACGAUGCCCUGUGGCAAGGGAUAACCACGCGAAAGCGUAGCUAAUACCCGCAUACGCCCUUCGGGGAAAGCGGGGGACCUUCGGGCCUCGCACUAUUAGAGCGGCCGAUAUCAGUUUAGCUAGUUGGUGGGAGGUAACGGCUCACCAAGGCGACGAUCCGUAGCUGGUUUGAGAGGACGACCAGCCACACUGGGACUGAGACACAGCCCAGACUCCUACGGGGAGGCAGCAGUGAAGGAAUUUUGGACAAUGGGGAAACCCUGAUCAGCAUCCCGCGUGUGCGAUGAAGGCCUUCGGGUUGUAAACGCUUUUGGCAGGAAAAAAACGGCACGGGAUAAUACCCGUGCAGCGGCGUACUACCAGAAUAAGCACCGGCUAACUACGUGCCAGCAGCCGCGGUAAUACGUAGGGUGCAAGCGUUAAUCGGAAUUACUGGGCGUAAAGCGUGCGCAGGCGGUUCGGAAAGAAAGAUGUGAUAUCCCAGAGCUUAACGGAACUGCAUUUUUAACUACCGAGCUAGAGUGUGUGUGAGGAGGUGGAAUUCCGCGUGUAGCAGUGAAAUGCGUAAAUUAUUAUGCGGAGGAACACCGAUGGCGAAGGCAACCUCCUGGGAUAACACUGACGCUCAUGCACGAAAGCGUGGGGAGCAAACAGGAUUAGAUACCCUGAAGUCCCGCCCUAAACGAUGUCAACUAGCUGUUGAGACUUCGGGCCUUGGUAGCGCAAGCUAACGCGUGAAAGUUGACCGCCUGGGGAGAGUACGGUCGCAAGAUUAAAACUCAAAGGAAUUGACGGGGACCCGCACAAGCGGUGGAUGAUGUAUGGAUUAAUUCGAUGCAACAUGAAAAACCUUACCUACCCUUGACAUGUCUGGAAUCGAAGAGAUUUGGGAGUGCUCGCAAGAGAACCGGAACACAGGUGCUGCAUGGCUGUGUCAGCUCGUGUCGUGAGAUGUUGGGUUAAGUCCCGCAGCGAGCGCAACCCUUGUCAUUAGUUGCUACGAAAGGGCACUCUAAUGAGACUGCCGGUGACAAACCGGAGGAAGGUGGGGAUGACGUCAAGUCCUCAUGGCCCUUAUGGGUAGGGCUUCACACGUCACCUGGUAAUGGUCGGGACAGAGGGUCGCCAACCCGCGAGGGGAGCCAAUCCCAGAAACCCGAUCGUAGUCCGGAUGCCAGUCUGCAACUCGACUGCGUGAAGUCGGAAUCGCUAGUAAUCGCGGAUCAGCAUGUCGCGGUGAAUACGUUCCCGGGUCUUGUACACACCGCCCGUCCGCACCAUGGGAGUGGGUUUUACCAGAAGUAGUUAGCCUAACCAGCGUAAGGAGGGCGAUUACCACGGUAGGAUUCAUGACUGGGGUGAAGUCGUAACAAGGUAA
rnacentral:rRNA from 1 species